CAGUCGGCCACGAGAGCUCCUAGAGUGAGGAUCUCGUUCGGAUAUACUAGGGAGUUUUCAUCCCCCCCGGUCCCUUCCCACCCCCAGGACACGCGGACUCGUCCGCCGGUUUAGGGUCGUCAGGGAAUCAAGAAUAUAUCGUUGUGUGCGUUUAUAGUCUAGUUUACUCCAAAACUCAAAAAUCAUCCCUCCUACCCUUACGAUUCGUAUUCGCGGCAAUUUUACGAUAUUUAUUAUUAUUAUACAUACCCCCGUCCCAAAUCUCCGCUAUCUCUAUCCGAAUCGAUCCCCCCCCUCCCUUUUCUUUCUUGAGACUGUUUACUAUUAAUCGAAGAAAAAGGGGGAAAAAAAGAUAAGAACGUCUUCUAGUCUACCUUUCGUCGAGUGUGUGUGAUACAUUUAUAGACAUACGUAUAUAUAUAUUGUAUACGUAUAUAUACACUGUGACUGAGAAAUACGGUGAAAAACUUAUCGUUGAGAUAUUAACGGAUAAGGUUAAGAAAAAAUAAAAUUAAAAAAUUAUUAUUUCGUCGCUGUGCCAGUACUCGCGUCUUAAAGGGAUUAUUUGCCUGGUACAAUUGACGUAAACGCAAGGGGACUUUAACGUUACAUUUAUGGGGGUGUCCGGAGAGUGCGCUGUCAGAGGUGCCGGCAGCAAAAGCCACCCCUGUCACUGCUGCAGUCACGCUGCCAUCGCCGGUACCAGUGUGCCACCACCCAGUCAUCAUCAUCAUCAUCACCAUCAUCAUCACAAUCAUCAGAAUCAUCAUCAGAAGCCCGUCGGCGAGCCUCCGGCUGACACGACGAUAUUGGCACCUCUGCGCAGCAAGAUGAAAGUGCUCAAGAAGCUCAAGCGAAAAAUGGGAUUGGCACCCAGAUCAUCCAGUGCAGGGACGAACAACCUACCACCCCUGACCUUUCACCAGGUUCAUGGUGACAACAUAAGACUGUGCAAUGGCGGCACCAUUGCCAGGAGACACGAGAGCUUUUGCAAGGGCGUCACCUUCAGCGCCAGACCCGUCCGUGUUGGUGAGAAGGUAUGCGUAAAGUUUCUCGAGAUAUCCGACAAUUGGAGCGGAGUCAUCAGAUUGGGAUUCACCAGUAACGAUCCGAUAAAUCUGAGAAACGGGCUGCCCAAGUACGCAUGUCCCGAUCUGACCAACAAGCCUGGUUACUGGGCUAAGGCAUUGGCCGAAAGAUUUGCCGAGAGAGACACGGUUCUGUUCUAUUAUGUGACACUGGCGGGCGACGUGCACUUCGGCGUGAACGGCGAGGAGAAGGGCGUCUUCUUCAGUGGCGUCGAGACGCGCGGUCCCCUGUGGGCGAUAAUCGACGUCUACGGCAACAGCACGGCCAUCGAAUUCGUCGAUCCUAACCGUCAGCACUUCAACAAUAUACGAAGAGGCGCUGAGCACAGCAACGAGGACAAUGCGCAGCACAGUAGACAUUCAGCAAUGGAUGACGCCAGCAACGCUGGCAGGGACCUGGACAGGAUCAUCGUACCCACCAUGCAGAACAUGUCCAUCCAUCAUGAGCCCGACGUUGAUCUGCCUGGUCUGAGGUUUCAGCCCUCAGGAGUACUCUUCACACCUCUACCAUUCCAUCCAACAAGAGGCAGGAACAUCCGGUUCAGCAACCAGCAGUGCGUGGCGACGCGAAGCGACACCGAAUUCUGUCACGGUUACGCGUUCACCAGCAGACCUCUGUUCCUGGGUGAGAGGCUGGUGGUACAGAUCUUGUCGACGGAGCCGAUGUACGUCGGUGCCCUGGCGCUGGGUCUGACGUCCUGCGACCCCUCGAGAUUGUCCGCCGAAGAUCUGCCUGAUGACAGUGAUCUUCUGCUGGAUCGGCCCGAGUACUGGGUGGUGUCCAAGGACGUCGCGUCGAGUCCCCAGCCUGGUGAUGAGAUAGCCUUCACGGUGACCCACUACGGCGAGGUUCAGAUGAGCAAGAACGGGGGUCAGCCCAACGUGGUGAUGCACGUGGACCAGAGUCUCCAGCUGUGGGCCUUCGUCGACGUUUACGGGUCUACCCAGAGAGUCAGGAUGCUGGCCAGUCGUCCGUCCUCGCCGCCGCGCACCAGGCCCAGCAGCCAGUCCCAGACGCAAAGUCAGCAACAGAACCAGCAACACUCUAAUCACAGUAACGCCGCCACUGAGCUGUCCAGAUUCAGCGAGAUGGUACAGUUCAAACCAGCCGUAGGGGGCGGUACUGUCCUGGUGGUUAACCUACCUCCUCAAAGUGGUUAUCCAACACCACCUCCACCGACGCCUCAGCCCGUCUACGCCUCGGCUGCUCAUAGAAAUCCACCGCCUGUACAUCAUCCCCCACCACCUCCGGCGUCCUCGUCGAUCACCGGACCAGCGUCUCAUCCUGGAUCGUCAAGGCAGUCUCCACCAUUGACCGGCACCAUGGCCAGCACGGGAUCCUCGACCUACGUUGAUCCUGUCUCGUAUCAGAGUCUAGAAGGCACCCUGACGUCUCAGGCGUCGUCCCACCUUCAACAGUGGAGCGAGGGUCUUCAGCCGACGCCUGGUCAGCCAAGCGAGUGCAGCAUCUGCUACGAGAGGAACAUCGACAGCGUUCUCUACAUGUGCGGACACAUGUGCAUGUGUUAUCCCUGUGCCAUUCAGCAAUGGCGCGGAAAGGGUGGUGGACAUUGUCCGUUGUGCAGAGCUCCGAUAAGGGACGUUAUCAGGAUCUACAGAUCCUGAAGAAGGAUAAACAGGGAUUUUCGUGACGACGGUGUUUAUUAUCAUGUGAGAGACGCGCGGGACUCUGUCAAUUAAGAUGUCAAUAGGGUGUGUGCUUUUUUUUCCUUGAUAUACUAUUGCGACCCGGAGACAAUUGUACCUAAGCGUUACCCUACUCUGUCACGUGGAAUUUCAAAAUCCUCUAUUAAUCUGGCCAACUAUUGACCUCCAGGAGUUUCAUUCCUGAUGAGGUCAAUUUCUUUGUAUGUAUAUUACGUGUAUCUAGGAGAACGUGCUUCCAUAGCCGCUACACUGCCACCUUGUAACUGUCCUGAAACCCCCUUUGUGAAUUCCUAUCCGUUUUGUCAUCCAAUCGAUUCCCACAAGUAGUUCCCUGCUCCCUAUGGACUUUCAAUUCCAAUUGUUUCACUUUCUUUUUCCUGUCCCCUCGCAAACAGUGUUUUAGGCUGAAUUUAUUGUACUUGUAUACGAUUGUCAAGGGACUCUUUUUUAUUCCUCGAAACGAUCAGUGACGAUGGGUGCCAUCUUCGCGCAUGCGCACUACUCGAUCAGUCAUACCGUUUUAUUUUAUUUCGUCGAUCAGUAAUAAACAACGUGUUUUUAUCCUAUAACGUGAAUUUUAUCAAACCCCUUUUCAAUGCUCAGGUAAUAAGACGCUUUGUUACGUCGUACAGGCUGAUUGAUUUUGUUUUUAAAUUCAAAUACGCAAUUUACACGGCAUACGGGGUUAGUCUCAUGACGUAAAUUAGCGAGUCAAGUUUUAUAUGAAAAAGUGGGCGUACAUUUUUUAUAGAUAAUUUAUAUGGAUACAGCAAGAGCGAUGCGAUAUAGAAUAUCGAUUAUUGGCAAUUUUCGCUGAUCGAGAGAAAUGGAUAAAUUAUUAUAAGAAAAAAAAAAUAUUCCCUCACGAAAUUUUCUUUUGAUUCUUUAACGCUACGAUUAGAUAUUGUUUUCUUUUUUGUCAGCUACUUAUGAUUAACGUGACUUUUGUAUCUUCCCUUUUUCUUUUUGUAUUGCUCAUUGCGUCACUAGAACGCUUUCCUCUUGUCUUUUGUCGAAAGUUUCAUUUCUAACGCCGUCCCUGCGGUUAAUUAGCAUCGGAGCGUGAGAAAAAGAAAGAAAAAAAAGAAAAAACAAUUGUCGUCAACCAAUAGAGCGAAACGGGUAGUCGUUGAGCGACCCAAGAGAGGUCGUCCAAAAAAAAAAAAAAAAAUCGCAAGAAGUCGCAGAUAAUAAAAAGAAAAGCAAACGAUGUCCGAGAUAAAUCUCGUCUCAUUAAUGUUAUUUUUAUUAUUAAUUAUUUGCUAUUUGCCUAGACGUGUUACUCGAACUUUUAUUAUUAAUUGCUACUCGUCACUAUACAUAUACGAUUACUUGUCUUAUUAUAUUAUAUUGCAUUGCUAUCGUCAUUAUUAUUAAUUAUUAACUAUUAAUUGCUAAUACCAUUAUUACUAUUAACUAUUUGUCGUCAUUAAUUAGUCGCAUUAUUUUUUAUCUAUUAUUAUUUAAAAUAGCGCCUAAUCGCAACAGCGUGGACGUUAACUUUCGUUGGAGUGCUAUCUUUUUUCUUUUUCCUUUUUUUUUCACUUUCAAAGGUCAUUUUCGAAAAAUCGCCUUUUCUCCGUCUCUCUGUCACACGUAAUCUUAUCACUUUACUCUUUUCUCUUCUUUAUUCUUGCCCAAGAAUCUUUUCUUCCUUUUUUCUCAAUUCUCUUUUUAUUCUUACUCUUUCUUACUCCUGACUCCAAUACUUGUCACUUUCGCUCUCGAUGACUAAUUGUAAGUCGUGUGCUGCUUCUUUUUUCUUUUUUCUCUUUUGCAUCGACGCGAAGCGUUACCAAAGAAAGGGAAUGCGAAAGAAAGUAAUGAAACGGUGUACAGUGUAUGUGUGGGUACGACGGAGAGCGCAUAGAAGAAUGUAGGAAGCGAUUGUACGAAUUUUUAUUGAAAUUUCAAAAAUUAUCUUGACGUUGCUUCUCUUUCUCUCUUCUUUCUUGAUCUCCGUUUACAAUUCGACAAUGCGUUUAUCUCAGUUUUCUUUCCUUCGCGAAAGAUCCCAUAUAAUAUUUUAUCCGAUGACAAUUGCAAAUCGAAAAAUUUUGUAAGGUUAUGUCAGAUAUCAAAAAAAUUUCUUUAAUUCACGAAAUGAAGAAAAACUUAAUGCAAGUCGACGGGAAUUUCAAAGAUUUAUCGAAAUGACUUUUUGAAAUUCCCGUCGCAUAUAAUUUUCGUAUAUUACCCCCUUUACAAUUUACUUGUAUGAAUUUUUUUUUUUUCAAAAAUAUUUUCAAAUCCAUUUUCACUCAUACGCACAAUAUGGACAGAAGAGAGAGGGUCUAAGGGGGGCUAUGACGUGGGAAGCAAAAACAGAAAGAUAGACAAGAGUAGAACGUAAUUGAAAACUAAGAAUACUAUAAGUCAAAAUGACAAACCGGCGAAUGCGUUAAAAUAAAUGUAAAAGAUUAUCGGAGAGCUAAUUAUGAAUAUUAGGAGAAACAAAAAAAAUAACUAAAUAACUGAAGAUGAAGGCAAAGAGCGCAGGCAAUAAAAGUAGUAGUGAAAAUCUCUAGUCCAGCGAGCGGCAGCCCAACUCGAUAUAUUCUGCCAAUCCAAAAAGUGUGAAAGGAAAAGCAAAAAAAAAAAAGAGAAGGACGUCGAUUUAAUAAUAAAAUAAAAGCGAUAAAAACGAAGGAGGGGUCAACUAAUUAAAAACGAACCAGCAUAUAAAGCUGAAAGGGCUGAAUAAUGUAAAGCAGAAGCCACACGCCUAACGAAUUAAACGGAGGCUAGACACCGUGGCCUUUAGUAGGUUGCCAACUAAUUACUCAAAUUUAGUAAAAAAAAAGUAAAUAAAAAAAAACAGAUUAGAAAAUCGAUAAAACGAGAAACAGACGGCGGUUGGUGUAACGAGUGAACCUAUACGAUAAAAAUAAGUAAUAAAAAUAAUAGUUCGCCAAUAAUGCCGAGAGAAUAAUGAGAAUAUGGAAUUUGUAUGGCGUGUAUGGGGCGAUAGGGGAAUAUCCAUAGACGGUAAAAAAAAAGAAUAAAAAAUAAAUUGGCACGAAAUUACGAAAAGAAAAAAUUGAAAAAAAAAAAAUGAAGCUGAAAAGCUAUCGGCGGCCACUUAUUUUAAAUAUUAGCAAAUCAGUUGGUACGAUUGAAGGGGCGAAAGGGGGAGAGGAGGGCGAAUGUGAAAUUGCAACGUAUGUAAUGGAGUGUGUGCUUUUUGUAAAAGAAAAAAUUGAUAGCGGAGCGGCGGGAGAUAAGGAGUGAUAGCGAAUAAAAAAUGUUCCAAAAAAUUUCGAAAAUUAUUAAUUAAGUACGCACUGGGCAGUUGUGGCGAAUGAUAAAAAAAUUUUUUUAAGAUUAAUUCAAUGUUUAUUAUUAAUUGUCGCCUGUUGCUCUUCGAUCUUUUUGUCUUGCUCUGUCUUUUUAUUAUUAUUAUUAUUAUUAUUACUCUCCCUAUUAAUCAUUAUUAUUAUUAUUAUUCAUUCUCCUCAAUCUCAAUUGUCGUCGUUAUCUGUCGUCUUAUACCUACGAAUUAUUAUUAAUUAUUAUUCCUAUAUUUUUUCUUUCUUCCUAUUUUAUAACUGCGAAUUAAUUAACCGCUAUCUAUAUCUAAUCAUCGUAUCGCGCACCUAGUAAGGAUUAUUUAAUUUGCGAUUCUUUUUAUCGUCCGCGCUUAACGAGCUUUAUCCUUUCUUUCUUUUCUUUACUAAAAGAGGGUAUAUUAAUAUAUCGUUUAUUCAAGAUCUUAUGUAAAGUCUUGAUUAAUUUUUAUUUAAUUCUCAACCCACUGAGAGAUACACGGAAACACACACACUCCUUACCAAUAGUGUAUAAAAUACAAAAAACUCGAAAAAAUAUACAUACAUGUGUCCGAGACACGGGAAAAGGAAAAUGGCCGAGUCGUAUCUGGACCGUGAAUUUUUGUCUAUAAUUUUUUUAAUAUAUAUAUAUAUAUACAUACAUACGAUUACGUGCAUAUUCACAUAAGCGGGAUACAUCAUAAGACGGAUGUUUGAAUCUCCGAAUUGGUUUUUUACCAUUUCAUUUCUUUUCUCUCUCUCUCUCUCUCUCUCUCUCUCUCUCUCUCUCUCUCUCUCUCUCUUUAUUGUCUUUCUUUCUCUGUCUGUCUUUUUAUCGUCGUUCUCUUCAGUGUAAAAAUUUACGACGCCCAAUGAAAUUUAUACAUAUGUAAUAUAACUGGUGGUGACCGUGAGCAGCCACCACUAUACAAUAAAAAUCUGUAAUAUCGAGGAA